GCUCCCGGAAGGUCUGAAGUUGUUUGACGGGAAGGCAGAGACGCAGGGGAAAAUCCAGUUCCCUUCGGGUCCACAUUAGCAGCAGUGGGGCAUUUCCCGGGGACCGGCAGCAGCGGGUACAAAUAAUUCUGGCAAAAUGAAUAAUCUCAAUAAAGAAACAGAGGAAGUUUUGGAGAUAAUGCAUGUAAAUGUUGCUAAAGUAAAGGAUCGAGGAGAAAAGCUGGAAGUUCUAGAUGAAAGAGCCCAAGAUCUGAUGGAAGCUAGUAAAACUUUCCAGAAGUCUGCAAAAGUAGUAGCUCGGCAAGAAAAGAUUAAAAAUAGGAAGUGGAAACUGAUUCUGGGAGUGACAAUUGGUCUUGUCCUUAUCAUCAGCAUCAUCAUCAUCAUUGUUUUCAGUAUUCCAUCUUAAGAAUCAUCACCUUCACUCAGUCCUUCCAUGAACCCGGAAUGAAAGCAAUAAACAUUGCAAUCAAAAAACAAAAACAAAACUGUGGAUGCUGGAAAUCUGAAAUAAAAACAGAAACUUCAGGAGAUACUCAGCAGGGCAGGCCACUUCUGUGGAGAGAGAUAAAUGUGGUUAAUGUUUCAUCAGUUUUGUUUUUAUUUCAAGCAACCUUUGUGAUCUCGACUGCUUUUUCUUUCUGGAAUUGAACAUAAUUAUCAUAAUUUGUUGUUAAAGCAGCUCACAAGUGAGGUGCCUCUAACUGUGGUACUUAAAAACUAAAUAACUAUAGAGCAGGGAUUUACACUUAACACAGUUUUAUUGUGAUUUGUAAUUUUUUUUUAUUAUUUAUCCAUUACAAACUUUGUUUUUUAUUAAAAAUAAUAUAUGGAAUUUAUAUCCUAAUGGGGCUUUUCAAAUUCUUCAGUUUUGCUGUACUUUGUUUCUGCCUCUGUUUAAAGCACACACCCUGUGACAGCUCAACCUGUAAACUCGUAUGUAGUUAUUACGGUUCUGAAAAAAUAAUCCAAAAGUCAAGUGCUCCUCCCCUAACAUAUGGCAAUGAAUUCAAAUAAAUCUGCUUGUUUGGCCUGAGAAACUUGAUUAUGAAAGCUGCUUAACUCUGUUAAAAGUCAGCCAAUUCAAUUAAAUAAUCUGGUCGCUCUACUUGAUCUCCCCACAGUAUGCAGUUGUUUUUUAUUGUCCUCGGGAGCAAGGCAGGGAAAACUAAAGACCGGUAAUCACUGAGGGAUUAUCAACAUCACCCUUGGAAGGUACGAAGAUGAAAAUCAUGAGUGAAUAUUUUAGCAGGAAACUGGUUAUUUGAAAUUACUUUGAAACAGUUAGAUUGAAAGAUAAGAAUAUCUACAAAUUUUGACUAUGCUUGCUUAAGUUUUCCUUUCGUGGUUUUGAGCUCUACAGAUAAAUUGGGUGCCAGCACUGAUCACCAAUGUAGCAAUAGAGCUUCAUCGGCCAUGGCUCGGAAUGGAAGGGGCAAAGACACUCAGCCAGAAUUACUGCUUCUGUAAGUGGCCUGUCUACUAAUGCAUCUGUCUGUGGUUUGUAGGAAAGGAUAGGACUUGACUGCAUUGUUGGCCUGCAGUGACAGGUUGCCGAGGCUCACUUCUGGGGAAACUCGAGUGGGUACUCGAGAGAACAGUUAGCUCCUGCAAUACGUCUCCUGCAAGAAGUGGCAGCAAAAAAAAUCCUCAGAAUUCCAAAGCCACUGGAACAAAGACAGACCAAAAAGUCGAGGGAUAAGCCCAAGGAAGCAGUGCCCAAAAAAUAAUUUAAAAGUGCAGCUUGCAAACAUCUGAACCUCUUCUCAGGUUCAACAACCUCCCUCCAAAGGAAGGAAGGGGAAAGCAGUUAGAGGAAGAGUGGAAAUGAUUGGAAUUGGCACUGAGUCAUGUAUUAUCUCUUCAUUCAGCUUAUUGUGAUGUGCAAAAAAAUUCAAUUCUCCCUCAAAAAGUAGAGAAUAAAUUCGAUGAGCAAAAAAGAUCAGUGAGUGGAAAAAAUUGUUCGAUAUUCACUUGCCAGUCAUGCCUUGGUUUUUUCCAGCUUAGUUUGGCCAGACACCAGAACACAAUUGAUGUUGAUUGAUCCUCACUUCUCACAGCUGUCAGCCGGAGGUACAAAGUGCCACAGGAUUCAUCAAUCAUCAACUCGCUUUAGAGAAUGCAUUUUACAGAUGGGAAAAGUCUACCCAAGGAUUCAUCUCAUCUCAUUUUGUAAAAUUUAUGAUUGAGAUUCUUAAAGCAAAAAUAAUUCCAUUGUACCUUUAGGCAUGAUCAUUUACUUUCCCAUCAAAUACUUCAAGAAUAUGUCACUGCCUAAUGUACAAAUGAGAAAUGGAGACUUACCUGUGAAGUGUAACUAUUGGCUGGUAAGGUAGUUUGGUGAAGCAAUCUGUGACAACAGGAGAGGUGGAGCAAAAACUGCAGGAAAAUGAUGAAACAGACAAAUAAAAAAUAUUCCUUUCUUGAAUAAAAAGUGGUUUAAGUGUAAGUGAAGCACCUCAAAACGGUUAUAAAAUAAAAUCCUAUAUUAAACACGCUUUCAACAUUAAGAAAGACCCGUGUUAUGUACUGAAGCUGACUGUCAGAGAUAUGUUGUAAUCAAACCUGUGCAUAUGGGUAUUGUAAAAAUAAAGGGUUAACACAUUUUCUGCAGUUAAAAUUACAAUACUUUAAAAAGUCUUCAAUUUGUUUUCCUCAUCAGAGAAUAAUUUGUUUUACUUAAGUCACA